UCUAGUCUGGCACGGUGAAGAGACAUGAGAGGUGUAGAAUAAGUGGGAGGCCGCCGGCGCCCCUCCGUCCCCGUGAGGGGGCGGGGCGGGGUCCGCCGGCCUUGCGGGCCGCCGGUGAAAUACCACUACUCUGAUCAUUUUUUCACUGACCCGGUGAGGCGGGGGGGUGAGCCCCGAGGGGCUCUCGCUUCUGGCGCCAAGCGCCCGGCCGUGCACGCAAAAAUAUGCCAAAAUGUAA
rnacentral:ncRNA from 1 species